rnacentral:rRNA from 1 species
GAUGAACGCUGGCGGCGUGCCUAAUACAUGCAAGUCGGGCGAACGGACGAGAAGCUUGCUUCUCUGAUGUUAGCGGCGGACGGGUGAGUAACACGUGGAUAACCUACCUAUAAGACUGGGAUAACUUCGGGAAACCGGAGCUAAUACCGGAUGAUAUUUUGAACCGCAUGGUUCAAAAGUGAAAGACGGUCUUGCUGUCACUUAUAGAUGGAUCCGCGCUGCAUUAGCUAGUUGGUAAGGUAACGGCUUACCAAGGCAACGAUGCAUAGACGACCUGAGAGGGUGAUCGGCCACACUGGAACUGAGACACGGUCCAGACUCCUACGGGAGGCAGCAGUAGGGAAUCUUCCGCAAUGGGCGAAAGCCUGACGGAGCAACGCCGCGUGAGUGAUGAAGGUCUUCGGAUCGUAAAACUCUGUUAUUAGGGAAGAACAUAUGUGUAAGUAACUGUGCACAUCUUGACGGUACCUAAUCAGAAAGCCACGGCUAACUACGUG